CAGAAAAUAUUUUAAUUAAAAAUAUUAAUUUUGGAAAUUAAUGAUAGGAAAAAUUUUCUUUUUCUGA
rnacentral:tRNA from 3 species